rnacentral:misc_RNA from 1 species
GAAAAGAAAUAAGUUCCUUGUAUACAUCGACAAAUCCUUGCAGAGUUUCCAAAACUGUUACAAGCAUGCUAGCCCUGUAAUUAUCGGACUGGAAAUACUGAGAGUCCUCUGGUAAAUCCACUAGCUCAAGAAAAUCUAAAGAAUCGAUUUCCACGUUGCUACUGCGUAUACAAAGCAAAGGUUCAAGUUCUUUGAUCUCCAUAAGGUUAUUCAACUGUAUAUUUUCAGAUCGAUGUUCCUUGUCUAAAGCUGCCAUCAGCAAAGUUUGAA